GCAUAUCAAUAAGCGGAGGAAAAGAAACCAACAGGGAUUGCCCUAGUAACGGCGAGUGAAGCGGCAAUAGCUCAAAUUUGAAAGCUGGCCUUCUGGUCCGCAUUGUAAUUUGUAGAGGAUGCUUUUAGGCAGCCGCCGGUCUAAGUUCCUUGGAACAGGACGUCAUAGAGGGUGAGAAUCCCGUAUGUGACCGGCUCAGGCACCUUCUGUAAAGCUCCUUCGACGAGUCGAGUUGUUUGGGAAUGCAGCUCUAAAUGGGAGGUAAAUUUCUUCUAAAGCUAAAUACUGGCGAGAGACCGAUAGCGCACAAGUAGAGUGAUCGAAAGAUGAAAAGCACUUUGGAAAGAGAGUUAAAAAGCACGUGAAAUUGUUGAAAGGGAAGCGCUUGCAAUCAGACUUGCCCCAGGGUGUUCAACCGGUCUUCUGACCGGCCCACUCAUUCUGGGGCAGGCCAGCAUCAGUUUUGGCGGCCGGAUAAAGGCCUUGGGAAUGUGGCUUCCUCUUCGGGGGAAGUGUUAUAGCCCAGGGUGUAAUACGGCCAGCCGGGACUGAGGUCCGCGCUUCGGCUAGGAUGCUGGCGUAAUGGUUGUAAGCGGCCCGUCUUGAAACACGGACCAAGGAGUCUAACAUCUAUGCGAGUGUUAGGGUGUCAAACCCUUACGCGUAAUGAAAGUGAACGGAGGUGGGAACCCGCAAGGGUGCACCAUCGACCGAUCCUGAUGUCUUCGGAUGGAUUUGAGUAAGAGCAUAGCUGUUGGGACCCGAAAGAUGGUGAACUAUGCCUGAAUAGGGUGAAGCCAGAGGAAACUCUGGUGGAGGCUCGCAGCGGUUCUGACGUGCAAAUCGAUCGUCAAAUUUGGGUAUAGGGGCGAAAGACUAAUCGAACCAUCUAGUAGCUGGUUCCUGCCGAA
rnacentral:rRNA from 1 species